GCAGUCGAACGAUGAAGCCUUUCGGGGUGGAUUAGUGGCGAACGGGUGAGUAACACGUGGGCAAUCUGCCCUUCACUCUGGGACAAGCCCUGGAAACGGGGUCUAAUACCGGAUAACACUCUGUCCCUCAUGGGGCGGGGUUAAAAGCUCCGGCGGUGAAGGAUGAGCCCGCGGCCUAUCAGCUUGUUGGUGGGGUAAUGGCCUACCAAGGCGACGACGGGUAGCCGGCCUGAGAGGGCGACCGGCCACACUGGGACUGAGACACGGCCCAGACUCCUACGGGAGGCAGCAGUGGGGAAUAUUGCACAAUGGGCGAAAGCCUGAUGCAGCGACGCCGCGUGAGGGAUGACGGCCUUCGGGUUGUAAACCUCUUUCAGCAGGGAAGAAGCGAAAGUGACGGUACCUGCAGAAGAAGCACCGGCUAACUACGUGCCAGCAGCCGCGGUAAUACGUAGGGUGCGAGCGUUGUCCGGAAUUAUUGGGCGUAAAGAGCUCGUAGGCGGCUUGUCACGUCGGAUGUGAAAGCUCGGGGCUUAACCCCGAGUCUGCAUUCGAUACGGGCUAGCUAGAGUGUGGUAGGGGAGAUCGGAAUUCCUGGUGUAGCGGUGAAAUGCGCAGAUAUCANGAGGAACACCGGUGGCGAAGGCGGAUCUCUGGGCCAUUACUGACGCUGAGGAGCGAAAGCGUGGGGAGCGAACAGGAUUAGAUACCCUGGU
rnacentral:rRNA from 1 species